UACGAAGGGUGCAAGCGUUACUCGGAAUUACUGGGCGUAAAGCGUGCGUAGGUGGUGAGUUAAGUCUGUCGUGAAAGCCCCGGGCUCAACCUGGGAAUGGCGGUGGAUACUGGCUCGCUAGAGUGCGGUAGAGGAGAGUGGAAUUCCCGGUGUAGCAGUGAAAUGCGUAGAGAUCGGGAGGAACAUCAGUUGCGAAGGCGGCUCUCUGGACCAGCACUGACACUGAGGCACGAAAGCGUGGGGGAGCAAACAGG
rnacentral:rRNA from 1 species